rnacentral:lncRNA from 1 species
AUGAUAUUUAGGGAGCUACCAUUUGAUUUUUAUGGGGGGGCUAGGAUGAAAAAUUUUGUCCUGCAUUUUUUUUUAGCUGUAAUCUCUGUCCUGCCUUUUUAUUUUUCACUCUGUUCGGUCCUGCAUUUUUUUUUUUGUUAGUUUAUCCUGACUUUUUUUACCUAAAUUGUCGUCCUGACUCUUUUUUUUUGCAAGUGUCUCAUCCUGACUUUUUUUUUAACUCAAAACUCCUGUCCUGCCUAUUUUUUUCAAAUUUCAUCCUAGCCCCCCCCCAUAAAAAUCAAAUGGUAGCUCCCUUAC